CCCUUGGUAGUCUAGUUGGUCGUGGCGUUCGACUGCAAUUGUCAUCCGAUCUUAUGAUAUCACAAUUGUUUAUCGAAACGUCACCGGUUUGAUUCCGGUCCUAGGGG